AUACGUAGGUGGCGAGCGUUGUCCGGAAUCACUGGGCGUAAAGGGCGCGUAGGCGGUUAUUUAAGUCAGGUGUGUAAACCGCAGGCUUAACCUGAGGAUUGCACCUGAUACUGGAUGACUUGAGUGCAGGAGAGGGCAGUGGAAUUCCUAGUGUAGCGGUGAAAUGCGUAGAUAUUAGGAGGAACACCAGUGGCGAAGGCGGCUGCCUGGACUGUAACUGACGCUGAGGCGCGAAAGCGUGGGGAGCAAACAGGAUUAGAUACCCUGGUAGUCCACGCCGUAAACGAUGGGUACUAGGUGUAGGAGGUAUCGACCCCUUCUGUGCCGGAGUUAACACAAUAAGUACCCCGCCUGGGGAAUACGGCCGCAAGGUUGAA
rnacentral:rRNA from 1 species